UACGUAGGGGGCAAGCGUUGUCCGGAAUCAUUGGGCGUAAAGAGCGUGUAGGCGGCCCGAUAAGUCCGCCGUGAAAGUCCAGGGCUCAACCCUGGAAUGCCGGUGGAAACUGUCGGGCUGGAGUCCGGAAGAGGCGAGUGGAAUUCCCGGUGUAGCGGUGAAAUGCGCAGAUAUCGGGAGGAACACCAGUAGCGAAGGCGGCUCGCUGGGCCAUUCCUGACGCUGAGACGCGAAAGCUAGGGGAGCGAACAGG
rnacentral:rRNA from 1 species